rnacentral:lncRNA from 1 species
UUCUGAUAAAUAGUUCAUGAUAGUAUGUAUAGAUAGAAAACACAAGCACCUGAUAUAUAGUAAUUUAGGUAGAAAGAGCAUUACAAAAUGACACGAAUUCAGAUGUAUUUUGACCAUUAUCUCUAAAAGAUACUACAUAUAAUUACAAAAUCAUAACAAGUAUGCUACAAGUGAUGAAAACCAAAGAAGAAAAACAAAUGCAAUUGAGGGUAGUCCCAACAUUAUGAUGGCCUCCAUUAACAUAAUUGUGAUGGUUCAUAGCUCCUGCUGCAUACACUGGGAUUACACCUGCAGUACCAAUGUUAGGUGACCUUCCCGAGCCCCCACCACGCGACGCUCGUCCUCCUGAGGAGCCACUAUGGGCACUAGCAUGCCCACUGGCGGCCCCACCUCCACGUUUAUCGAUUGUCACAACUUUAUCAUCUACAUGCACUACAAGAGAAAUAAGAAUUUCCUAUGAAAUUUUCCUUAGAACUAUCAGGUGUGCGAGUUUUNNNN